AUCACUUCUCAGCCUUUUGGCUGAGAUCAAGUGUAGUCAUUAACUAGUCUCUAUUAGUUUUUCUUUUGAGAUGUGGCCAAUGGUGUCCCAUUAUAACUAUCAUACCGUCUUUAGGAGCAUCAACUAGUCAUUUGGCUCUGUAGUGCCUUAGUGCCACCGACCUUUAUCAGUCAAGUGGCAGGAAUGACUAGACUCAUU